rnacentral:rRNA from 1 species
CAGUCGCCACGGUAAUACGGAGGAUCCAAGCGUUAUCCGGAAUUAUUGGGUUUAAAGGGUGCGUAGGCGGCAUGCUAAGUCAGGGGUGAAAGACGGUGGCUCAACCAUCGCAGUGCCUUUGAUACUGGUGUGCUUGGAUGUACAUGAGGUAGGCGGAAUGAGACAAGUAGCGGUGAAAUGCAUAGAUAUGUCUCAGAACACCAAUUGCGAAGGCAGCUUACUAAGGUAUGAUUGACGCUGAUGCACGAAAGCGUGGGGAUCAAACAGGAUUAGAUACCCCAGUAGUCCCUGUCUCUUAUAC